UAGUGGUUCCUAUUAGCUCUAUUUGGAUCCCAAGGAUUUCUAAGACCAAGUAAAUUUGGUUACUCUUUAGCUAUAAUACACAAUAUAAAAGCCCUUCGAUUAUUCUUAUGGUUCAAAAUCAAACGAAGACUUAGGGUGGAUUGAAUGUUUUUCAAAGAACAAUCGGAUGAGAUCAACUUUAGUGCUAGUCAAGGUUGUAAUAGCUGUUGUACUUGCCAUUUAUAUAGAUCUCAUGCCUUAAAGUAAGGGAUUCUCAUUCAUAAGUGUUACAAGGCAAGACUUAAGUUUUGAGAUGAGAUUUGCAGAAGCUUUUGAGUAAGGAAAUCAUUAAGAUUGACUACAAAAUAUAGAUUUUGGCUUAGAGUGAAAAGAGGAUUGGCAUACCAUGAUAUUGAGGCAAAACUCGAGGAUCAGGUAUGCCGAUAAGCAGACUUCAAUACUAGGCACUCGUCCCAUGUUCUGUAACAUCGUUAGUGAGCUUCUCUCUCAUCUGGAGCUAAUAAAUGUCUAGUGCUCCUUAGUAAUGUUUGUAGUUAUAGUUUGGGUAUGUUAGGAGCCCUGUCCCGACCAUAUUCCUUUGUACGGAUAUGAAUUCUGUUAGAAGCUUUGUAGACCGUAUUAAUUUAUCUCCUGUGGUUGUAGUUUCACUUGUUAAUAUCAGUUAGGUUCAAUGAGCUUGAAUUAUGCAUUUAUG